GGGGGUGUAGCUCACAUGGUAGAGCGAAUGCUUUGCAUGCAUUAGGUAGCGGGAUCGAUACCCGUCACCUCCA
rfam:Acanthamoeba castellanii str. Neff unplaced genomic scaffold scf7180000084638, whole genome shotgun sequence.